GAUGAACGCUAGCGGCAGGCUUAACACAUGCAAGUCGAGGGGUAUAGUAGCAAUACUAGAGACCGGCGCACGGGUGCGUAACGCGUAUGCAAUCUACCUUUUACAGAGGGAUAGCCCAGAGAAAUUUGGAUUAAUACCUCAUAGUAUGUGAGAAUCGCAUGGUUUUCACAUUAAAGUUCCAACGGUAAAAGAUGAGCAUGCGUCCCAUUAGCUAGAUGGUAAGGUAACGGCUUACCAUGGCGACGAUGGGUAGGGGUCCUGAGAGGGAGAUCCCCCACACUGGUACUGAGACACGGACCAGACUCCUACGGGAGGCAGCAGUGGGGAAUUUUCCGCAAUGGGCGAAAGCCUGACGGAGCAAUACCGCGUGAGGGAUGAAAGCCUGUGGGUUGUAAACCUCUUUUUCUCAAGGAAGAAGUUCUGACGGUACUUGAGGAAUAAGCAUCGGCUAACUCUGUG
rnacentral:rRNA from 1 species